rnacentral:rRNA from 1 species
GACGAACGCUGGCGGUGUGCUUAACACAUGCAAGUCGAACGGUAAGGCCCUUUCGGGGGUACACGAGUGGCGAACGGGUGCGUAACACGUGAGUAACCUGCCCUCAUCUCUGGGAUAACAGUCGGAAACGGUUGCUAAUACUGGAUAUGAGCUUGCAAGGCAUCUUGUGGGUUGGAAAGAUUUUUUUGGUUGGGGAUGGACUCGCGGCCUAUCAGCUUGUUGGUGAGGUAGUGGCUCACCAAGGCUUCGACGGGUAGCCGGCCUGAGAGGGCGACCGGCCACAUUGGGACUGAGAUACGGCCCAAGCUCCUACGGGAGGCAGCAGUGGGGAAUAUUGCACAAUGGACGGAAGUCUGAUGCAGCAACGCCGCGUGCGGGAUGACGGCCUUCGGGUUGUAAACCGCUUUCAAUUGUGACGAAGCUUUUUGUGACGGUAGCAGUAGAAGAAGCACCGGCUAACUACGUG